GAUGAACGCUGACAGAAUGCUUAACACAUGCAAGUCUACUUGAAUUUGGGUUUUUUAACUUAGAUUUGGGUGGCGGACGGGUGAGUAACGCGUAAAGAACUUGCCUCACAGCUAGGGACAACAUUUGGAAACGAAUGCUAAUACCUGAUAUUAUGAUUAUAAGGCAUCUUAGAAUUAUGAAAGCUAUAUGCGCUGUGAGAGAGCUUUGCGUCCCAUUAGCUAGUUGGAGAGGUAACGGCUCACCAAGGCGAUGAUGGGUAGCCGGCCUGAGAGGGUGAACGGCCACAAGGGGACUGAGACACGGCCCUUACUCCUACGGGAGGCAGCAGUGGGGAAUAUUGGACAAUGGACCAAGAGUCUGAUCCAGCAAUUCUGUGUGCACGAUGACGUUUUUCGGAAUGUAAAGUGCUUUCAGUUGGGAAGAAAAAAAUGACGGUACCAACAGAAGAAGAGACGGCUAAAUACGUG
rnacentral:rRNA from 1 species